UUUCAUCUUUCUUCUGUCUUCGCUGUGCUUUCAGAGAGAGAGAGAGAGAGAGAGAGUAAUUGAGAGAUGGCGAGGCGAGUUGAGACUCGGAACGAUUCGGCGCUGACUCGGGCGGUUGGAAAGGUGUUUGCGUUCGUGAGAUACGCGGAGUUUGAGAUCCUCUUCUUCCUCUUCUUCAUCAUUGCUUAUAUCGUCUUCAAAGACAUUGUUUCAACUGGUUUCAGGGGCUUCAUCAAUCAAUACCUGAUUUGGAAUUGAGAGGACAUCAAGACCCGAAUACAAUCAAAUCCUUGUAAAGAAGCCCGGUGGAUCAGAGUUUUGGCCUUACUAGAAGAUUGGACACUCUGCUUGGUACUGUUGGAUGUAUUCAUUAUUAUUUAUUUAAUAGGUAUGCUUAGCAUGAACGCUGGUGACUUUGGAGUUUGGAUAUUUCCCUUUUGUAUUAUAUCUUAAUGUAUUUUUAUAGGUAAAAUAGGUGAAACUGCUACAAAUUCGUGUAAUGUUCCACUCCAGUUAAUAGCAAAAUCUUGUAAAAGAUUCAACACCUUUUUGUUUAAUAUUAUUCUCUUGUAGUUC